UACGUAGGUGGCAAGCGUUGUUCGGAAUUAUUGGGCGUAAAGAGCUCGUAGGCGGCCUGUCGCGUCGGAUGUGAAAGCCCGGGGCUUAACCCCGGGUCUGCAUUCGAUACGGGCAGGCUAGAGUGUGGUAGGGGAGAUCGGAAUUCCUGGUGUAGCGGUGAAAUGCGCAGAUAUCAGGAGGAACACCGGUGGCGAAGGCGGAUCUCUGGGCCAUUACUGACGCUGAGGAGCGAAAGCGUGGGGAGCGAACAGG
rnacentral:rRNA from 1 species